rnacentral:rRNA from 1 species
AUGGUGAGAGGUUGUUAUUGGGGGUCCGAGAAGGGCAAAAGAAAAGUGCAUUGGCGACCUUGGAAUGAUCUAUUACAACCAAAAAAUAAAGGUGGUGCUAGCUUCCGUGAUUUCCGUAUUUUUAACCAAGCUUUGUUAGCUAGGCAAGCUUGGAGAUUAAUCUCGAAACCCGACAGUCUAUGUGCACAAGUCUUAAAGGCUAGAUACUACCUCGAGGGUAAGCUUGAGGACACUGUGUUUUCUAUUAAUGCUUCCUCGUCUUGGCAGGCUAUUAGCUAUGGUCUUGAUCUUCUGAAGAAGGGACUUAUCUGGAUAGUGGGAAACGGUAGGAGUAUUCGGGUUUGGCGUGAUAAUUGGAUCCCGAGACCGUUCUCCUUUAAACUGAUCACCAUGCAGGGAAGGUGCAGAAUUCGUUUUGUCUCGGAGUUGCUAAAUGAGCAUGGGGCUUGGAACCAAGCAUUACUGCAUGAAUAUUUUUUGCCGGCGGAUGUGACCGAGAUCAUGAAGAUCAGGACGUCGCCAUGCUUGGAGGAAGAUACCUUGGCUUGGGGUCCUAGUAAAUACAGAGUACUUUCAGUAAAGAGUGCAUAUCAAUUCGGCUUCGACGAAGCCCACAGGAGCGCAACAACCGGGUCUAGCUCCCGACCAGAUGGUGCGCGCUCAUGCUGGUAGCUUAUUUGGUCUACAAAGGUUCCACCAACAGUACGAAAUUUUGCCUGGAGGGUCGCUACAGAUUCUUUGCCAACACGGAGAAACAAGCAUGUACGUGGCCUUGAAACAACCGAUUUAUGUCCGUUGUGUGGUACAAAGACUGAGGACUAUUUCCACUCAUUAUGCCGGUGCACUUUCUCACGUAUCUUAUGGGAAACAAUGGCGGAUGUGUGGACCUUGCCGUGUAUUACAUCCAUGCAUAAUUCUGGUACAGAAUGGCUGCUGCAUGUGUUAGAGACACUGCCGGAAAUUGAUUGUUCCAUGUUGCUAAUGACGCUUUGGCGGGCGUGGUGCAUCAGGAAUGAGGUCAUCCAUCAUAAGCAUGUACCGCCUAUGGAAGCUUUGAAACGAUUCUUAGUGAGCUACCUUGACUCUCUUAUUGGCAUUAGAACUGUUCUCUCUUCCGAUCCUAGUAAGGGAAAAUCUUUUAUCACAUAUGAUAAUCACCCCCGGCGGUCACAUGUGAUAAGAGAUGUUGCUCAUCCCAAGUGGAUUGCACUCAAGGUCGGCUGGGUGCAGUUGUGCACUGAUGGCUCGUAUGCAGAUGAUGGAUCGGCAGGCGCUGGCAUGGUGCUGAGAGAUGACAAGGGUUCUAUAAUUUUUUCUUCGUGUAGGCAGCUUUUCUCAUGUCGCGAAGCCCUAUAAGCUGAAUUGUGUGCUUGCAUGGAGGGUUUGUCAUUUGCUAUCCAGAGAAUUGUCCUACCUAUCAUGACCGAGAUGGAUUCCAUUGUUGAAGUGAAGCUGAUACAGGCUUAGGAGGUGGACAGAUCUGUUUACGCGUCGCUCACUAAGGAGAUCCAUUAUCUUAUGUCUCUUCAUGAUUCUUGUAUUACUUAUAUCAAUCGUAGUCAAAAUAAGGUUAGUGAUAGUCUAGCUAAGUUUGCUCGUCUAGAAGGCAGAACCAUGACUUGGAUAGGUUCGGGGCCUUCAGAGGCAUUGGAGUUUGCAGUGAUUGAUUGUAUGGACCUUGUGAUUGAGUAA